AAGUGUCGGCCGUUCGGGGCCGGUGAAAAGGGAAACGGGUGUGAGUCCCGUGCGGUGCCGCCGCUGUAAGCGCAUGAAGGGCAGUCUGGAUUUCACUGUUUUAUAUGAAAAAUGGGAAGAAACCAGGCACUAUUGCCGCGCAAGCCAGAAGACCUGCUUAUGU
rnacentral:ncRNA from 1 species